ACUACAAGCACUGACCGAGCGUCUUUCAGAGCCUGCUUCAGUGGGGAGAGGGCUGUAAGAGCCUUUGCUGUUCUGAGCUUCGUUGUGAAAGCUCCUUCCUGAUAGAAGGAAAUAACUGUUGGAUGGCCUGCGCAGAUGAGCUGUUUUCACGUGGGUGGAGCUGAGCAGGGAGGCAGAUGUGAGUGGGGCCCGGCAGCCUGGGCACAUCGAAUUCUGUUAGAUGCUCUGGAAAUGAUGGAUUCUGUUAAAAGCUCGGACUGUGUAGAAAGGCUGGCACAUAAAUACAUGCAGCAGAAGUGCGUGGUGGAGUCAAGCACGGAGUCAGAGUCUGAAUCCAGCGUGGAGGUCUUGCAUAACCCACUUGCUGAAGGACUUAAGAAGGCAAGGGACUCCAAGGGACUACAAUUCUUAGAUCCUUAUGAUGGUGAUUCAGAAGACACGUCCACUCACUCUGACUGUAGCUUGAGUUCUCUGAACAGUAUAGAAGUUGCACCGUGGAUGAGCAGUGCUCCAAAAGCAAUGGCUUUGGAGGAUGCUGAUCCUUUGGGGAAUGGAGAGUCCUUCCCUCAACCUCUGGACUGCCUCUGCUCAGAAACAAAAAUCAGUGAUGUUCACAGCCAGAGAGUAAAUGAUAGUAAAUUUCCCCUCGAACUUCCUAGCCAGCAGAAGGAUUUCCCAAGAAGCCUGUUGCAAUCCUCUGAGCUGAUGAGAGACACAGAAGCAUCUCCCUCCAUGUGGCUGAUGCCUGACUUUUCCUUACUGGUGGGUGUGAAUCCUUCAGCCCCUGCUGAUCUCCUUGCAAGUGAUAGUUCUCCACAACCCAUGCUAGCAGAUGACUGUGAUGGUACCACUUCCAGACAACCACUUAUUAAAAGAAAACAAGGGAUCACCAUUUCAGAGAGCACUGGUGAAAAACUACGAAGAAAGAAAAUCCGUGCCAUCUGAUCUAAGGUAUGAACAAGUAGCUGGACAAAGUGUUUCAUUCUAAAAGUGAACCUGCUAGGUUUCUUUUGCAGGCAGCACCUGAACAAGCUUCAAAUGAUGAUAUAAAUGCAGCUGCACUUUGCUGCAGGCACUGAGAUCCAUCUUGAAAGGAUGGAACCAACUAAACAAGCCUGUGUGGCAAUUUAAAUGAGAAUUAGCUAAGCUAUGUCCAGACUCAGAUGGCUGAGAUUGAUGCCUGUGUGCUACUUCAGUGUCUGGGCACCAGAUUCCUGUGUGCUGUGUCUGGAGACAUCUGUUCAGCUCUGGGGUAAUUUCAAGUAAGUAUUAUGAGGGUAUGUUGAGGAGGGAAGGAAGAAUGACUGAAUGGCAAUUGAUUUUUACACAGCUAUUGCUCUUUGUCUCAUCUGCUGUAUGACAGGAGGGAAGUAGCUGUAUGGUGAAUGAGCCUUCAGGUUUGGCUACAAACACUGAACUAUGUGUAUCUGAAGGCAAUCUAGUUGUGUUUUUUUUUCCUUUAAUCACAGAGAAGUUGACUUGUGCUGUUAACAUACUUGUCCCUACCUGCUUGAACAUUGUUUUGUAUAUAUGGUAAAUAUUCUCAGUAUAUCUGCCAGUUUAGAACUUAGAAUGCAAAACUGAAUCCAUUAACUGGAAGUAAUCUUCCUUGUUAAGAACCAUGACUUAAGCUGGUGCAGAAGUGCUGGAUGCAGAUAGGAGGUCAGCCAGCGAGAACUCUCUCAUCUCACUCCGUGAUGAUAACCUUUCUGUAUUUUCCUUUCUACAUAAAUGAACUAUAUCCACAGAAGUAUA
rnacentral:lncRNA from 7 species